rnacentral:rRNA from 1 species
AUUGAACGCUGGCGGCAGGCCUAACACAUGCAAGUCGAGCGGAGCGGCGGACGGGUGAGUAAUGCCUAGGAAUCUGCCUGGUCGUGGGGGAUAACGUCCGGAAACGGGCGCUAAUCCCGCAUACUAUCAGAUUAGCCUAGGUCGGUUUCGCUAGGUGGGGGGGUAAAGGCCUACCAAGGCGACGAUCCGUAACUGGUCGGAGAGGAUGAUCAGUCACACUGGAACUGAGACACGGUCCAGAGUCCUACGGUAGGCACCAGAGGGGAAUAGUGGACAAUGGGCGAAAGCCUGACACAGCCAUGCCGCGUGUGAGAAGAAGGCGUUCGGUUUGUAAAGCACUUUAAGUGGGGAGGCGGUACCAGCAGAAUAAGCACCGGCUAACUACGUGCCAGCCGCCGCGGUAAUUC